UGAGGAAUAUUGGUCAAUGGGGGCAACCCUGAACCAGCCAAGUCGCGUGAAGGAUGAAGGUCUUAUGGAUUGUAAACUUCUUUUACACGGGAAUAAAGCGGGGGACGUGUCCCCCUUUGCAUGUACCGUGUGAAUAAGGAUCGGCUAACUCCGUGCCAGCAGCCGCGGUAAUACGGAGGAUCCGAGCGUUAUCCGGAUUUAUUGGGUUUAAAGGGUGCGCAGGCGGGAUGUUAAGUCGGCGGUGAAAUUUUGCAGCUCAACUGUAAAAGUGCCUUCGAUACUGGCCUCCUUGAGUGUGGAUGAAGUAGGCGGAAUUUGUGGUGUAGCGGUGAAAUGCUUAGAUAUCACGAGGAACUCCGAUUGCGCAGGCAGCUUACUAGGCCACAACUGACGCUCAUGCACGAAGGCGUGGGGAUCAAACA
rnacentral:rRNA from 1 species